rnacentral:antisense_RNA from 1 species
CUUCAGCGAGCCCAGGAACAGCGGGGUCGCGCGGUUCUGCCCGUAGGUCGCCAGGACGGCCUGCGCCUC